GAUUAGCCUGCGUCCGAUUAGCUAGUUGGUGGGGUAAGGGCCUACCAAGGCGACGAUCGGUAGCUGGUCUGAUAGGAUGGCCAGCCACACUGGAACUGAGACACGGUCCAGACUCCUACGGGAGGCAGCAGUGGGGAAUAUUGGACAAUGGGGGCAACCCUGAUCCAGCAAUGCCGCGUGUGUGAAGAAGGCCUGAGGGUUGUAAAGCACUUUCAGUGGGGAGGAGGGUUGAUAGGUUAAGAGCUAAUUAACUGGACGUUACCCACAGAAGAAGCACCGGCUAACUCCGUGCCAGCAGCCGCGGUAAUACGGAGGGUGCGAGCGUUAAUCGGAAUUACUGGGCGUAAAGGGUGCGUAGGUGGUUGAUUAAAUUAUCUGUGAAAUUCCUGGGCUUAACCUGGGACGGUCAGAUAAUACUGGUUGACUCGAGUAUGGGAGAGGGUAGUGGAAUUUCCGGUGUAGCGGUGAAAUGCGUAGAGAUCGGAAGGAACACCAGUGGCGAAGGCGGCUACCUGGCCUAAUACUGACACUGAGGCACGAAAGCGUGGGGGGCAAACAGGAUUAGAUACCCUGGUAGUCCACGCUGUAAACGAUGUCAACUAGCUGUUGGAA
rnacentral:rRNA from 1 species